AGCAGCCGCGGUAAUUCCAGCUCCAAUAGCGUAUAUUAAAGUUGUUGCAGUUAAAAAGCUCGUAGUUGAAUUUCGGGAUUGACACAUCGGUCGUGCCUUAAGGGGUAUGAACUGGUGUAGUCAAUUUCUCACCUUCUGGAGAACCGCGAUGCCCUUAAUUGGGUGUCGCGGGGAACCAGGACCUUUACUUUAGAAAAAUUAGAGUGUUUAAAGCAGGCAUUUUGCUUGAAUACAUUAGCAUGGAAUAAUAAAAUAGGACGGCGUGAUUCUAUUUUGUUGGUUUCUAGGAUCACCGUAAUGAUUAAUAGGGAUAGUUGGGGGCAUUAGUAUUCAAUUGUCAGAGGUGAAAUUCUUGGAUUUAUUGAAGACUAACUACUGCGAAAGCAUUUGCCAAGGAUGUUUUCAUUAAUCAAGAACGAAAGUUAGGGGAUCGAAGACGAUCAGAUACCGUCGUAGUCUUAACCAUAAACUAUGCCGACUAGGAAUCAGACGAUGUUAAUUUUUAAUGACUCGUUUGGCA
rnacentral:misc_RNA from 1 species